UACGUAGGGACCAAGCGUUGUUCGGAUUUACUGGGCGUAAAGGGCGCGUAGGCGGCCUGGUAAGUAGGGGGUGAAAUCCUGCGGCUUAACCGCAGGGCUGCCUUCUAAACUGUCAGGCUCGAGCACGGUAGAGGCAGAUGGAAUUCCCGGUGUAGCGGUGGAAUGCGUAGAGAUCGGGAAGAACAUCAGUGGCGAAGGCGGUCUGCUGGGCCGUUGCUGACGCUGGAGGCGCGACAGCGUGGGGAGCAAACAGG
rnacentral:rRNA from 1 species